ACCCAGGACUCUUCAUCUCCAGGAGUGGAGAUGCAGGACUGGGGAGGAAAGUCUGGUGCGGAGAGGCCUUGAGGAGUCAGUAGGGAACCAACGAGACCCACAUGGCUGAAGUCACUGAGAACCUACCUGCGGAGGAAGACCUGAGACCACAGAUGGGCAGAGCUUCAAGGUGUGAAUGUGCAUAUGGAAGACAUCGGGUGGAUAAAGGUGGAGGCUAAACCAGCCAUGCUCUCUUGCUCGCGGGGCUCUGACUGGCUCUCUUCUUGCUUCAGUAUCUCGCCAUCUCCUGCUUCCCAACUGCUUCCUGUGGUCCAUCUGAGAGGGAACAGUCCUCAUGGGCAGAGAGAAUAAUGCCAGAUGGAAGGAAUGUGGAAAUUUAGAAGAUUUUACACAUUACUGAAGGAUGGUUUCAGAGCCUCCGUGAGACCAUGCCGCUUUUGGUGUUGCAAAAGUAUCCUGUAAAGGCCGCUGAAUCCUCCCCUGAAUCGACCUAUGAAGACCGGGAUUUGACCAGCUUAACGACUCAUCUCAGCUUCGAGCAUCCCCUGAUAACUUCUAACUCUUCGAGGUAUUUCAGGAAGGGGUUUCCUGGAGCCUGACAGAUAAGAUCUAUUUUUAUCAAAAUGUUGAAAGGACUGAUUCGAUUAAAUCCAGCAAAUUGGC